AUGUGGUAGAAGUUGUUUUCUGCAUAUUUACAGUGUUUAUUGCACCUGAACAUCUGCCACAUACAAAAACUAACUUCCUAGUUAACCUUCCUUUAAUAUUGCUGCAUCUCUUAUGUGUCCAUAACUUACACUGUGUACAUCUUAUAGAGUUUCUACCUACGCUUUUUCUACAGAUCGAGGAGGGCCAUCUACCUGAAGGGGUUUGUGUUUUGUCUCCAGUCAUUUGACUGUGGCCAUGCUGGGGCACCACCUUGUAGGGUUUUAGUUCGACCCCAGGACUUAUUUUCUUUGUUACCAUGACAGUGCACCCUCACCAUCUCCUCUCUUCAGCUGGGGAAGCCAUGUAUCUUCUUUUCAGCAAGACACCUCUUCCUGCCAUCUAUCAUACUUUUACCACCUUAAAUACUAUACCUCAUUCAGUUGAAGGGUUCUGUAUAGUGAGUACUUAGCAACCUCACUGGUGCUGGUACCAUGAAAAACAAAAGCACCCAAUACACUCUAUAAAGUGGUUGGCAUUAGGAAGGGCAUCAAGCUGUAGAAACUCUGUCCAAGCAUAAAUUGGAGUCUGGUGUAGUCCUCUGGCUUGUCAGUUCCUAUUGAAGCACUCAAAUCAUGCCAGUAUAAAAAAACAGACAAUGAUGAUGAUGUCUGUACCAAUGUAAUUGGUGCACACUCAGAUGGUGCGUAUUUCUAAAUGAUUUCAUUGAAUAAGUUAAAACUAUAAAACAAAUGCCCAGGAAGUGAUUAUUCCCUACAAUUGUCAUACUUGUGUAAAAUACAACUUUUAGAUUAAGUUUUCAACUUCAGUUUCCUAUACAGUCAAAUAUAAAAUAUAACAAAUCUAUUGACUUCUCUCUGCUUCAAACCAAAAUGUUUUAAACCUUCAGGUAUGAAUUUAACAGUGUUUUUUUUUUUUUAAACUAUUUAUAAGUCUCAUUCACAUAAUUUAUAACUGUUAGAGACUUAAUGGAAAGUACAUUACUAUUUUUAGUUAAGAAAUAAAACUUUGAAGUUCAAAUUCAUUCUACAACUAAGGACAUACUAAAAAGAGACACAUAAUGAUAACUGGAGAUGAAACAGAGUGAAGAGUGGUGCAGAUAUAAAUACUGCAAAUAUAAAAUAUUGAGGUUUGGGCAAUUAUAAUUGUAACAAUGCCUUUAAAGAUUGAGGUUUCUCUGUUGUGUUAUGAGGUAUUGCAUUUUCUGGUAUAAGAGCCGUGAUUUUUUACCAAAAAAUUUCCCCAAAUCACCCUGCACCUUUGCAUAACUUUGGCCAAUUGACAAGUGUUAAUUUUAGUGCGGUAAGGACUACCAGUAUCUAGCUUUAGAAUGAUUAGAAAUUGAAUGUGAUAAAUGAAAAAUAUAUAAAUACACAUGUAGUUACAGUAAUGAAUUACAGAUAUAAUAAGCACAUCAGUGAUGUGCUAUUGUUUGUUCACAUCAGAGGACAGCAAUCGGCAUUGCCAAAACCUAAUAGUGGUGAUAUUUGGUAUCUUCUAUCUUUGCUUUUACCUUUUACUUGUUUUGGUCAUUUGACUGUGGCCAUGCUGAGGCACUGCAUUGAAGGGUUUUAAACAAAUCAACCCCAGUUUUAUAUUUGAGAAAUGAGGAAUUAUGUACAUUAUUUACAAUUGACGGAUAU